GAAGUUCUAUUUAAACUAUUCCCUG
rnacentral:ncRNA from 2 species